GAGAGUUUGAUCCUGGCUCAGAUUGAACGCUGGCGGCAUGCCUAACACAUGCAAGUCGAACGGUAGCAGGUCCUUCGGGAUGCUGACGAGUGGCGGACGGGUGCGUAACGCGUGGGAAUCUGCCCAAUAGUGGGGGAUAACCCGGGGAAACUCGGGCUAAUACCGCAUAUUCCCUAUGGGGGAAAGCGGGGGACCGCAAGGCCUCGCGCUAUUGGAUGAGCCCGCGUCCGAUUAGCUUGUUGGUGGGGUAAAGGCCUACCAAGGCGACGAUCGGUAGCUGGUCUGAGAGGACGACCAGCCACACUGGGACUGAGACACGGCCCAGACUCCUACGGGAGGCAGCAGUGGGGGAUAUUGGACAAUGGGGGAAACCCUGAUCCAGCAAUGCCGCGUGUGUGAAGAAGGCCUGCGGGUUGUAAAGCACUUUCGGCAGGAAAGAAAAGCCAUGCGCUAAUACCGCAUGACCUUG
rnacentral:rRNA from 1 species